rnacentral:rRNA from 1 species
UACAGUGGCGUACGGGUGAGUAACACGUGGAUGAUCUACCCUGGAGUGGGGAAUAACGCUGGGAAACCGGCGCUAAUACCGCAUAAUCCCGAGAGGGCAAAGGAAGCAAUUUCGCUUCAGGAGGAGUCCGCGGCCGAUUAGCUUGUUGGCAGGGUAAAAGCCUACCAAGGCAACGAUCGGUAGCCGGCCUGAGAGGGCACACGGCCACACUGGCACUGAAACACGGGCCAG